ACGGGAGGCAGCAGUGGGGAAUAUUGCACAAUGGGGGAAACCCUGAUGCAGCGACGCCGCGUGAGCGAUGAAGUAUUUCGGUAUGUAAAGCUCUAUCAGCAGGGAAGAUAAUGACGGUACCUGACUAAGAAGCACCGGCUAAAUACGUGCCAGCAGCCGCGGUAGUACGUAUGGUGCAAGCGUUAUCCGGAUUUACUGGGUGUAAAGGGAGCGUAGGUGGUCUGGCAAGCCAGAAGUGAAAACCCGGGGCUCAACCCCGUGGAUUGCUUUUGGAACUGUUGGACUAGAGUGCAGGAGGGGUGAGUGGAAUUCCCAGUGUAGCGGUGAAAUGCGUAGAUAUUGGGAGGAACACCAGUGGCGAAGGCGGCUCACUGGACUGUAACUGACACUGAGGCUCGAAAGCGUGGGGAGCAAACAGGAUUAGAUACCCUGGUA
rnacentral:rRNA from 1 species